UGAGGAAUUUUGGACAAUGGGCGCAAGCCUGAUCCAGCCAUGCCGCGUGCAGGAUGAAGGCCUUCGGGUUGUAAACUGCUUUUGUACGGAACGAAACGGCCUUUUCUAAUAAAGAGGGCUAAUGACGGUACCGUAAGAAUAAGCACCGGCUAACUACGUGCCAG
rnacentral:rRNA from 1 species